UGAUGAUGGUGAUGGAAAUUUCUAAGCAUACCCUUAAAUCUUUCCCAAGCUUGGUAAAGAUCUCCUUCUUUCUUUCUAAAACUCAGAAUCUUACUUCUCAAAUG
rfam:Capsicum annuum cultivar Zunla-1 chromosome 7, whole genome shotgun sequence